UUUUGCACCCCCACCCCUCUAAAUUUUUGAGCCGCCACUCUCUUCCUCCUUCUCCCUCGCGCAGGUCUGCUCCAGCCGACUCCCUGUCUUCUUCCCGACAGCGGCCAGCAGGGAGCUCGGCCAGCAGCCAUGGCGUCCUCCCCUACUUCCCCAUGGAAGUCGGCUCCAUCUCCAUGCUCCCUCCCUAGCCGAGCACCUCCAGCAGCUAUGGUUGAGCUUCUUUUCCCCCCUGAUGUUCCUUUGCGCGCACGAGCUCCCUGGGCCGACCUCGACGAGCUCCAUGUCCAUGGGCGACGCAGCAGCUCCAUUUCCUCCAUGGCCAUGGCGCCCCCCUGCUCUUCCCUGCCAGCGGCCAGGAAACGCCCAGGACCAGCACCCUACUCUGCCCAGCGCCCCCUUCUGCACGGCGUUCGGCAGCAGGGAGUUUUUUUUCUUCCCUGCGCGUAGGAGCUCAUUGGGAGCACGCCGACGCCCCUGCUCGCCCCCUCCAUCCUUUUCCCUUAGUGCGGCAGCGAGGAGCCCCUGCUCGGUCAGGUGCCAUGGCGUCCAACUUUUCUGCGCAGCAGUGCCGGUUCAAAAAAAAUAGCAGCCUCGGAUCCCCUCCGCACCGCGUGCUUCGCUCGAUCUGCGCAGUCCCGACCCACGCCGUCACGUUGGUGUUUGAGACAGCCCCGUGCCGCGUCGUCGAUCUACGCAGCGCUUGCGAGCCAUCGGAAAAAAUCUUUGCUAGAUGUUGUCGCAGCAUCUCGCGUGAUGCAUGAUUCGGUGAAGCACCUAAACCAUGGACGCAUGCGCGACUCGAAUCCAUGAUGCCAGGUUGAUGGAUUUAUAAUUUACUAUUGAUGUGAUUCGGUUGAUGGCAUGCAUAUAGAUAUGGUGUAUAUUGGUGUUGAAUAUGUGUGACUAUGAUAGUUCAUUUACGUGUCGCGAGGGUAGUUCGCCGAUAUAUUAAUUGAUUGUUAAAAUGCUUCAUCGUAAAAUAAUGUGUUUGUGCGGCAAAUUUAAUGAGGCGUAAAGCAUGCUUGGUAGUUUC